GUGCAUCUCCUUCGCCUCUCUGCCACCCUCUGCGGCUCUGCCUCGCUUGCACACAGCCUGCAGCAUGACCCGCCGCCCUCCGCCGGCCGCUCGACCGCCUGUCGGCUUCCGCAUCGGUGGCCACGGUCCUCGCCCGCGUGGCCUCGCUCCCCCAUUGAUUCUCCCGAGAUUCCAUCCCCUCCGUCCUCCCGGCCUCCCUCCUCGGCUCCUCCCCUCAGCUGUCGUACUGCGCCGCCCGCAUCCAUAUCCUCCGGCCAGUGGACGGAGACAAUACAAAGCCCGUGUGAGGCCGAGGCGCCGAGCCGUUUGCCGCCUGCUGCGCUGCCCACACCUCCCUGGCUCCCUCUGCAUGGCAUCAUUGGCAUGCGGUUGCUAUCCUCGCCCUGGGCUAAUCUGGCAGCACCUCCUCGAUCGCCACGAGCAAGGGCCCCUCUAAUUCCCGCACCACCGAGGUCCACAUAGUCGGUCGUCGAUCAGCAAGGGAGAUACAGCUCCGUUCCAAGCAAUCCCAUGUGUGGUCCUUGCCGUUCCUUCUCAACAAACGCAGCACACCUACUGCUCCUACCCUCUCUCGUACAGGCAGAUCGGAAGGGGAAGCUUCAACUCCAUUGCAAGCAAUCCCAUGGGUGGUGCGGUCUCCUCUGUAAUGCCCCCUACAUACAUUCUCCUCUCCCUCUUCCUUCAAUAUAUUUUAAGGUCACCGAGAUGUAGGGUUUGAGAAUAAGGAUUCUUUUCAAUUGCCAUGGAGCUGAGUGAAAUUUGUGCAAAAUGAGUUAGUUAUGAUACAAAUAGAUGAAUCCCUUUGUUUCAGAGUUCAAUAGAUUACCUUUUGAAACCAAUUGUAUAGGCAAAUAUGGGAACACUCAUGGCCUCUUCAUAUGCAGAGGCACCCCCAUCCCCACCCAAAUCAAUAUUCAGGAUUUUAAUGCAUGUGCUACUUUAGAGACGAAAAUAAUCCAACCUUUUGGCUUCAUAUCUUCUCAUAUACCAUCAUUCAUGAAAUGGGAACAUUCAUGUAUAUAUAUAUGUUCAAAGUUUGUUCAAGAAAUGUAAAUUCGUGAAAUCGGAACAAUAUUCAUGAGGCUUGCAUAUAUAAGUCAUGUAACUGGAUAUUACGCUCCAAACACCUAACUUGCCAACUACAGAAACAUGUGUCUUUGUUCCAAAUAGAAAAAAAAAUGCAUUUGUCAGGUUUAUGAUAACCAGGGACUCCGUAUUCCAUAGCCAAAUAACGAUACAUCAAGUACAUAAACAAGGUUGCAUAUUUAAGUAUAAUUCAUCUUUACAAUCUUAUAUAAAGACCCACGUACAAAUUCAAUGUGCAAAUGAAGAGAUCCUUUUCCUCCACCUUAAUAUCUCUUCUCAAACUUUUGAAGUAGAGUUCAAAGCCUAAACAUUUUAUUUGAACUGAAGAGGGCAUCUACAUUGGCACUUUCAGUCUUACAGCAUGAAGUAUGAUUCCUUUCACUUGCAAUAGAAAGUGUUGAAUCUCAUUCAGAUGUUACAUAUGCAUCGUUGUGCUUUUGGACUUCUGUGUAACAUCAACGAUACACAUUUCAACUACAAGCAAUUGCUUGCCUCCAAAACAAUAUUGAUUAUUGUUGUCUUGUGAUUGGUUAACCAUGUUCUACAUAAGGUCAAACAUCUGCUUGCCGUGCAGAAUGGCAAAGUCAUUCCACUUCUGAACAAAUGGCUGUGGACAAAGAACAACAAUUGCUGCUGACGGUGAGGGCAUACAAAACCAUUGAGUAAUAGCUCUAUAUCUCGUCUGUAGUUUGCAUAAUCCCUACUCUUUUCAAUUUCAUCUUGUUUUUGAAAGAGUAAUUAUGAAUUUAGCUUAAUUCUACCCUUCUAAAUGUAUGAGAACCUGUAUUGCAAACUAAAUGUAUGAAAUUUGCCUUCAUGGCUAUUGCUGUGUGCCACUUUAAUCCUUUCUCCAUUUAUUUUCAGGUCCUAACAACCUACUUCUCACUGUUGCACCAACAGACACAGUGUUAGAACAUGAAAGAUGAUUCUGAAUUAGACUUUAUCCACACCUUAUUUAAGAAAAUUUCUCACCCUGAAUUUAAUAAGUACCCACAAUUAUUAUAUAACACCUUAUUAUAUCACACCCUUACAAUAUAUAUACAGAGCGAAUCCAACCGCUGUUUCCUUUGCUCUAUUAUAUUCUUACAUUCCAUAUCCAGGGUCACUCUAUGUAAACUGAAAUCACACCAGAUACUACAUGAAAAAAAUGGUCUAUGCUUCCAGUGAACGCACAUGGCACGAUGAUACUUCAAUUCUUUUUAUGAUACUGCCUUGAUCUUGACGUUUGCAGGUUCUGUGCUCCCCGUACAUGUGUGCUCCUCCACCUGAUGUCGUUGUGGCUGAGAUAGAACUGAAACCCAAGUCUGGACAAAUUUUUUACAACUGGAGAACAUGACAUAAGAUCAACUCGUAUCAGUUUUCCAACUUGAUUCAGGAUGCCAAGCACUAGAGCCUCCAGAACCAUGGGCAUGGGCGCCAGCGAACAUGACCAGUGACGAGCAAGUCAGUCCGCCUCACCAGGACCCAUUGCAUGAUUAUAUUCUCUGAAAGAUUUUCUUUCAUCAGUAGUUCAGACCUCCAGCGUAUUUAUUUAUUUAUUUAUUUUGUAAAAGGUGACCUUGAAGUGCUCCUAUGACGUUAAAAUGCCCUUGGAUAUCCUAAGCUAAUGUCGGAAUGUACCACCAGAACUGCCCAUGCGAAUGAAUUAGAAAGCAUAACUGUUAGCAACCA